rnacentral:rRNA from 1 species
UACGUAGGGUGCGAGCGUUAAUCGGAAUUACUGGGCGUAAAGCGUGCGCAGGCGGUUCGUUGUGUCGGCGGUGAAAGCCCCGGGCUCAACCUGGGAAUGGCCGUUGAAACUGGCGAACUGGAGUGUGGCAGAGGGGGGUGGAAUUCCGCGUGUAGCAGUGAAAUGCGUAGAGAUGCGGAAGAACACCGGUGGCGAAGGCGGCCCGCUGGGCAGUGACUGACGCUGAGGCGCGACAGCGUGGGGAGCAAACAGG